CUGGCAGGCCGCAGUGACAGCAACGACUCUGCUCCACUUCCUGCGACGGAUUUCGUGCAGCUCCAUCACUCCCUGGCAGGCCGCAGCAACGGCCACGACUCUGCUCCACUUCUUGCGACGGAUACCGCGCAGUCUCUCCACCCUCUGGCAAGUCGUGACAACGGACGCCAUCCCACUCCCCACGACAGGCUCCAUGUGGUAGGCCGCAGUAAUGGCCACGAUUCCGCUCCACUACCCUUCAUAAUAAACUUCUCCUGGCCCCGAACGGCCCACUGCCAGGCGGUUACAAAACGUCACCAUCAGUCUAUUGCACCC
rnacentral:lncRNA from 1 species